GGCAUUUCUGAGUUCGAGGCCAGCCUGGUCUACAGAGUGAGUUCCAGGACAGCCAGGGCUAUACAGAGAAACCCUGUCUUGAAAAACCAAAACAAAACAAAACAAAAAAAAAACCUAGAACUCAGUGGACCUGAGUUGCAUGUCUGUAAUCUCAGCAUCCAGGAGGCUGAGGCAGGGCUACACAGGGAGAUAUUAUACAUACACAUAUAUAGGUAGGUAGAUAGAUUUAUUUAUUUUUAUUUAUAUGAGUACAGUGUCACUGUUUUCAGACACACACCAGAAGAGUUCAUCGGAUCCCAUUACAGAUGGCUGUGAGCCACCAUGUGGCUCACGGGAACUGAACUCAGGACCUCUGGGAGAGCAGCCAGUGCCAAUACUCUUAGCCACUGAGCCAUCUCUCCAGCCCCAUUCAUAACAUAUUUUUUAAGUGUGUAUUUGCAGUGUAUUGUUAGAUAGUGACAGGACAGGACAACUUUUUCCUCAGGCUUCCAGCACAUUCUGACGCAAUGUCAUCUGUCAGCUCUGGAAAGGAGGGCAAAGGAGAAACAGGCUCAACCCACACAAAGGUGGCCAAACCCUGAAAGACCUUGGACCUCCAGAAACUGUGGACACAGUUCAAUCCCUACAGAGGUUUGAAAAAAAUUCAGACCCUGAGGCUCGCUGCAGUUUAGCAUGCGAGGUGGGAUACCACAAGAAAGGAAGGUCCCUCUUUCAGACACUGCAGAGUCCAGAGUUGGUCCUAAUUGUUUCCCAUGCCUUACAGCACACACAUUCCUCCUGAAUCACUCACACCACUAACAGAGGCUGAUCUGAGUGUCCAGCGCCUUUAAGUGUGAUUCCCCCUAAUCGACUUAUCACAAGUAGAAAGGCAGUAAGACUCUAAGUAGUAGUCCUCUGCCUAGGAAGGAAGGGAAAUAUCUGUAAGUGGUUUAAAACUCUUUAAGGUGCUUCAAGAUGUUGACAAAUGAAUGAUGAGCUUCCCAGGCUAAAAAUAUUGCUCCUCCUAGGUCUAUCCUAAUCACAUUGAAACAUAAGAUAGCCAGAGAGCAGAGACACUUCUUCGGGAGCUGAAAUCAAGGCCCGGCGGUGCACGUGAUUUAGGGCUCGCUACAAAACCUUGCUACCCACUUCUGCACUUUACUAAGAGAAGAGAGACUUAAGAUAAGCAGCACUGCCCUGGGGCCAAAGAGAAGGCUGAGCAGGCAAAAGGCGUUGCUGCUAAGCCUGAGGACCUGAGUUCCAUCUGAGAUCCACAUGGCGGACGGAGGGGGGAACCGUUUCCGGCAAAGUUGUCCUCUGCCUCCCACCAGCACCAUGCUGCGCACAUGUACACAAAAAUAAACAAAAAAUCAAAAGUAAACAUAACUUGCCCUCUGCCUGCCAGCACACUGGUGGUAAAACCCUCUCCACAUCCCACUCCGCCUUUGGCUUAGAAACCCCUUCCGAGGCCAUAUCAGCACGACUUCCAGGCAGCCCAAGCAUCAACAGUGGCCCUCACUGUCCCACAAGCGAAGCGGGAUUUGGUUAAAUCUGCAGGUGAAGAACUCGGAGGGGAGUCCUUGGCUAAGACAACCAAACCCAGCCAAGCGAGGGUUGGAUCCUCAGCUAAAGCUCAGUGGCGUCUGUUAUUUAAAGUACGUCCCCUUUCUACUAACGCACUGGGAGGGAAGGAGUCCUCAGAGCGGCGCCCCAACUUGAAAAGGAAAGAAAGCCCCAUGCAGGGCCCUGCAGCUGUGUGCUGAGGACCUAACCGGAGCCCGCCACCCUUCCUGACCAAGCCCAGAGGGCUCCGAGGGGUCGCCGAGCGGGAAGCCAGGGCCUGAGACCCGGUCGAGACCCCGACCCGGGACUGUGGCGUCAGGGUCGCCGCCCCACUGCCUGCCGCGCGCCCAGCGGCGCCCCAGCCGCGACCCCUGACAGUCGCGACGGGGCAGUCCCACUCCCCUCACCUGGU